AGAGCGAACGCUGGCGGCAGGCUUAACACAUGCAAGUCGAGCGGGCGUAGCAAUACGUCAGCGGCAGACGGGUGAGUAACGCGUGGGAACGUACCUUUUGGUUCGGAACAACACAGGGAAACUUGUGCUAAUACCGGAUAAGCCCUUACGGGGAAAGAUUUAUCGCCGAAAGAUCGGCCCGCGUCUGAUUAGCUAGUUGGUGAGGUAAUGGCUCACCAAGGCGACGAUCAGUAGCUGGUCUGAGAGGAUGAUCAGCCACAUUGGGACUGAGACACGGCCCAAACUCCUACGGGAGGCAGCAGUGGGGAAUAUUGGACAAUGGGCGCAAGCCUGAUCCAGCCAUGCCGCGUGAGUGAUGAAGGCCCUAGGGUUGUAAAGCUCUUUGUGCGGGAAGAUAAUGACGGUACCGCAAGAAUAAGCCCCGGCUAACUUCGCGCCAGCAGCCGC
rnacentral:rRNA from 1 species